AGAGUUUGAUCCUGGCUCAGGAUGAACGCUGGCGGUGUGUUUUAAGCAUGCAAGUCGAACGAGCCGUCUUCGGACGGUUAGUGGCAGACGGGUGAGUAACGCGUAGGAAUCUACCCCAAAGUGGAGAAUAGCCCCGCGAAAGCGGGAAUAAUACUGCAUAGUCUCGUUUGUAGAACAAGAAUUCACAAGUUGUUAAACCAGCUUGGAGUUCUCGUUCUGCGGGCGAGUAAAGGGCAUAACUGCCCGCUUUGAGAGGAACCUGCGUCCUAUCAGCUUGUUGGUGAGGUAACGGCUCACCAAGGCUAUGACGGGUAGGGGAUGUGAGAGCAUGAUCCCCCACAAGAGCACUGAGACACGGGCUCUACACCUACGGGUGGCAGCAACUAAGAAUAUUGCGCAAUGGGCGAAAGCCUGACGCAGCGACACCGCGUGAAGGAUGAAGGCCUUCGGGUUGUAAACUUCUUUUCUGAGGGAAUAAGGUUCGAUUAAUCGAAUUUGAAGGUACCUUAGGAAUAAGCACCUGCAAACUACGUGCCAGCAGCAGCGGUAAUACGUAGGGUGCAAGCGUUAUCCGGAUUUAUUGGGCGUAAAGAGUUCGUAGGCGGUUUGUUUAGUCAUUGGUUAAAGACCUUAGCUCAACUAAGGAAAGGCUGGUGAUACUGGCAAACUUGUGUCUGGUUAGGGAUGUUGGAAUUCCCGGUGGAGGGGUGAAAUCCGUUGAGAUCGGGAAGAACACCAAGGGCGAAGGCAGACAUCUGGACCAAGACAGACGCUGAGGAACGAAAGCUAGGGUAGCAAAUGGGAUUAGAGACCCCAGUAGUCCUAGCCGUAAACGAUGCCUACUAGCUGCUCCGAUUUUUAUCGGAGUGGCGCAAGCUAACGCGUUAAGUAGGCCGCCUGGGAAGUACGGCCGCAAGGCUAAAACUCAAAGGAAUUGACGGGGGAGCGCACAACCAGUGGAGCAUGUGGUUUAAUUCGAUACAAAGCGAUGGACCUUACCUGGGUUUGACAUGUUGAAAGUAGUUCCGAUGAAAGUCGGAGUCAACCGUAGAAUCGGUAAUCAUCACAGCUGUUGCAUGGCUGUCGUCAGCUCGUGUCGUGAGACGUACGCUUAAGUGCGGUAACGAGCGCAACCCUCACCCUAAGUUGAAUAUUCUUAGGGAACUGCCUCUGCAUUUGCGGGGGAGGAAGGAGAGGAUGACGUCAAGUCAGCACGACGCUUAUAUCCAGGGCUACACACAUCCUACAAUGGGAAGGACAAUGGGUUGCCAAGCCGUAAGGUGGAGCUAAUCCCAUCAAACCUUCUCUCAGUUGGGAUUGAGGGCUGCAAUUCGCCCUCAUGAACGUGGAAUUGGUAGUAAUCGCGGGUCAGCAGACCGCGGUGAAUACGUUCUCGCUCCUUGUCCACACUGCCCGUCAAUUGAGGAAAGUCGGGAGUGCCCGAAGUACCCCUUCGCGGGGUCCUAAGGCAAGCUCGGUAAUCAGCGAUAAGUCGUAAGAAAGUUGCGAC
rnacentral:rRNA from 1 species